CCUACGGGAGGCAGCAGUGAGGAAUAUUGGUCAAUGGACGCGAGUCUGAACCAGCCAAGUAGCGUGAAGGAUGACUGCCCUAUGGGUUGUAAACUUCUUUUAUAAAGGAAUAAAACGAGGCACGUGUGCCUUUUUGCAUGUACCUUAUGAAUAAGGAUCGGCUAACUCCGUGCCAGCAGCCGCGGUAAUACGGAGGAUCCGAGCGUUAUCCGGAUUUAUUGGGUUUAAAGGGAGCGUAGGGGGUUUGGUAAGUUAGUGGUGAAAGGUUGCGGCUUAACCGUGAAAUUGCAAUUAAUACUGUGAGUAUAGAGUACAGUUGAGGUAGGCGGAAUACGUGGUGUAGCGGUGAAAUGCGUAGAGA
rnacentral:rRNA from 1 species